rnacentral:tRNA from 3 species
GCGGGGGUAGCCAAGCCUGGUCAAAGGCGCAGGGCUUAGGACCCUGUCCCGUAGGGGUUCGUGGGUUCGAAUCCCACCCCCCGCA